UACAGAGGGUGCAAGCGUUGUUCGGAAUUAUUGGGCGUAAAGGGCGCGUAGGCGGUUCGGCAAGUCGACUGUGAAAUCUCCGGGCUUAACCCGGAAAGGUCAGCCGAUACUGCGGGGCUAGAGUGCAGAAGGGGCAACUGGAAUUCUCGGUGUAGCGGUGAAAUGCGUAGAUAUCGAGAGGAACACCUGCGGCGAAGGCGGGUUGCUGGGCUGACACUGACGCUGAUGCGCGAAAGCCAGGGGAGCGAACGGGG
rnacentral:rRNA from 1 species